AUGGUAGAGAUAGAAGAAAAUUUAGAGGCAUUUUUCCAAUCCACUGUGUUCAUUUUGCAGAUAAAGAAGCUAAGGCCUAGAGAAGGCCAGUGGCUUGUCCAAGAUCAAAUAAUGAAUGGCAACACACAUAUGGUGGACUUGGUAUCGGGAGAUCUGGGUUCAAGUCCAGUCUCUGACACUUUCCUAGCUGUGAGACCAUGUCAUUUCUCUGACCUGAGUUUCAUCAACUAUAAAAUCAGGCAGAGAAAUGGAGGUCUACAUUACCGGAUCAUGUGUUUGGAGCUUCCUGCAUUCUAUAUUCUGUAUAUUAGAGUUUGCCAUAUUUUUUGGCCUAAGGGCCAAAUUCUAAUAGUGAGAAGAAGCACUGAAGAGACCUCCCAUCCUUUUCCAAUAGUGUUUCUUGCUAAUUAUGCCACACACUGAAAAACUUAAUUAAAUCAAUGUUUGGUGUAUAAUUUCAACUAGUUUUCAAGUAGGGGGACAAUCAGCCAGAUAAGUAGCCUUUCUAGCUCACAUCCCCUUCAUGAAAUUCAUUGUGGGUUUUGGGGCAGGAUAAAGGAAGAGAACUGACUCUCUCUCAUUUGCGAUGGCUCCAGGGUGCAGAUAUUUCAGGAAGGAAGAUUUCAGCUCAAGAUAUAAGGAAGAAUGGCCAUAUCAUUAGAACCUUCUCUACUUGGACUGGUUUGUAAUCUCACCUGCCUGGGUCCUCCACCUACUUCUUCAGAUCCCAACCCAUCCACAGCUUGCCAUCCAGUGAAAAAUUUCCCCAUGUCUUUCCACAAAUCCUCUAAUAUUGCUGGAGGCUUUCUGAUGGUUCUUUAAUUUUUUUUUUUUUGCAGCCCUUGGGCUGUCCAUCUGUCAUCCCUCAGUCUGGUUACAGAGCCAGUCCAUCUCCUUUCUGGUGGUAUUUGUCCUUGAUGUCUUUUAUUGUUAUUUCUCCCACCUAACUCACUGUUGGUAAUAUGCUGCUGUCCACCCACCAUAUACCUCUCUCCACUGCCCUUUGGGAAACUUGCAAUUUCGAUUCUUCUGACAUCAUGGCAUUCCUUUGUUUUAUGAUUUGGAUACCAUGAGGCUCUCGGUGUUACAAGAUGUGCUUUUGUGGCAGAAGGAGCUUGGGUGCUUUGGAAACAUUGCAUGAUUUCUCAGAUGUGAUCCAGCAUCCUAUCCUCUUCACCUAUUCACAGUGGUGUGCCCAGCUCAGUCCCUCUGCAGUGUCUCUUCAAGAGAUUCAUAUAUACAAGCAUAAAUAUGUGCAUACAUGAAAAUUAUAUACAUAGAUAUACUGAUGGACUAAUUCAACAGGUUGCCCAUCCAACUAUCUGUCAUAAUCCAUGCAAAGUGCGCUUUUCUUCUCUUUAUUCAGUGUGGGUGGUGAAGCUGAUCUUUUUUGAGUGACUAGAGCUCUAAUUGAGCAAGUUCU
rnacentral:lncRNA from 1 species